GAUGAACGCUGGCGGCGUGCCUAAUACAUGCAAGUCGAGCGAACGGACGAGAAGCUUGCUUCUCUGAUGUUAGCGGCGGACGGGUGAGUAACACGUGGAUAACCUACCUAUAAGACUGGGUUAACUUCGGGAAACCGGAGCUAAUACCGGAUGAUAUUUUGAACCGCAUGGUUCAAAAGUGAAAGACGGUCUUGCUGUCACUUAUAGAUGGAUCCGCGCUGCAUUAGCUAGUUGGUAAGGUAACGGCUUACCAAGGCAACGAUGCAUAGCCGACCUGAGAGGGUGAUCGGCCACACUGGAACUGAGACACGGUCCAGACUCCUACGGGAGGCAGCAGUAGGGAAUCGUACGCAAUGGGCGAAAGCCGGACGGAGCAACGCCGCGUGGGUGAUGAAGGUCUUCGGAUCGUAAAACUCUGUUAUUAGGGAAGAACAUAUGUGUAAGUAACUGUGCACAUCUUGAAGGUACCUAAUCAGAAAGCCACGGCUAACUACGUG
rnacentral:rRNA from 1 species